rnacentral:lncRNA from 1 species
UUUAUAAGGGACUGAACCUCCCUGAGAUUACAUUCCCCUGUGGGAGAUCCCUCAUCACUGGCUGUGCAGACCCAGGGAGCCUCACAGCCCAGACCUGGGCAACACGUGUAGGAGCUGAGAGCAUCCUCACGGCAGCAGGCAGAACAAACAAGUGGGCCUGGGGCUCACUACCCUAAGGCAUUGAAUUCUGCCACCAACUUGAAUCAGAUCGAAGCCAGACCCUUCUCAGGUGAAGGCAAUGACCACACAAACAAACCCAUCCUGGAAGUCCCUCUUGUGACUCUGAGCAGGAGGCAGUCACUUGGCCUAGUAGAACUUCUGACCUGUGAGCUGGUGUUUGUUUUAAAUAUCCAAAAUUGGUGAGAAUUCGUUCUGCAUUGAUCUAAAAUUAAUAUACGCUCCAUGCACAAGUUUCUUCACAUUGUGGAAGUGAGAAAAUUCGGUGUGUGUGUUUGUGUGUGGGAAGGUGAGGCCGGGAGCUGUGUCCAGUUGUGGCUAAACUAUG